UUUCCGUAGGUGAACCUGCGGAAGGAUCAUUAAUACUUUUUCCAAAAAUGACAUUCAUUUUUUUUUAUGAAUGUUAUACCCACCUUUGGCUAACUUGUUUUUUAUAAAAAAAAAGAGCCUAAAGCGGCAAGAGAAAAGUGAGCUUUCACUUCUUUUCUCCGUUUUUGGUUUUCUUUUUUUUUUUCUCUUUUUUUCUUUUUAACCCCAUGAAACCUAAAUUGACUGAAAACUUGAGAAACACAAAUGCAUUUGCAUUUGUUUGUUGCUCAAAAACGUUAAAAUCGAAAAACAACUUUUAACAACGGAUAUCUUGGCUCUC
rnacentral:misc_RNA from 1 species